UUCAUCCUUACAGAGGGUAAUGGAUCAGAGAACCCCAGAAACCCCCUUCACUGAGUUGGUGUGAAAGGCUGCACCAUUUGGACAUUCAUGAGUGGCGGAAAGGUUUGUGGUUGUGGAAGAUUUACAGAACCAGAGGCUGUAUUGAUUCCUACUGCUGAGCUGCUCGAACAAAGCUGAUUUUUAAUCCCAAUAUGAAGCUGAGGAGGGGAGUGAUAGAGUGGUUUUGAUGGGCAGCUGGCAUCCAGCCAGAGUCAACCCAUGACACAGAGAAUUCUUCAAAUCGUAUGAGGGAGAAGAGUGGGAGGACGUUUCUGUAUGAGGGCUCCCUGUGGACCAGAUUGCCUCCGAACAUUGAUACGAAGCAGUGGCAAAAGCCUUACUAAAGUUAGGACAGAAUAUCAGCUCUUUGUCACUAUUCACGGAAUCUUCUCUUCUAUGACAGAAGGAAAUAAAAUUGGUUUUGACUGGACAGCAGAUUUUAAUGAAGAAGGAGCCUUCCACUUGCUGAAAAAUAUGAAUCUCCCCUUUUGCUUCAUGGCUGUCUACACAUGUGGAUACUUCUGGACAAGGUGGCCAAGACAACA